rnacentral:rRNA from 1 species
CAGCCGCCGCGGGAAUACGAAGGGGGCUAGCGUUGCUCGGAAUGACUGGGCGUAAAGGGCGCGUAGGCGGAUGACACAGUCAGAUGUGAAAUUCCCGGGCUUAACCUGGGGGCUGCAUUUGAUACGUGUUGUCUAGAGUGAGGAAGAGGGUUGUGGAAUUCCCAGUGUAGAGGUGAAAUUCGUAGAUAUAUGGAGGAACACCGGUGGCGAAAGCGGCUCUCUGGCUUGUAACUGACGCUGAGGCUCGAAAGCGUGGGGAGCAAACAGGAUUAGAGACCCCCGUAGUCCCUGUCUCUUAUAC